CCUACGGAGGGCUGCAGUGGGGAAUAUUGCACAAUGGGGGAAACCCUGAUGCAGCGACGCCGCGUGAGUGAAGAAGUAAUUCGUUAUGUAAAGCUCUAUCAGCAGGGAAGAAAAUGACGGUACCUGAGUAAGAAGCCCCGGCUAACUACGUGCCAGCAGCCGCGGUAAUACGUAGGGGGCAAGCGUUAUCCGGAUUUACUGGGUGUAAAGGGAGCGUAGACGGCAGUGCAAGUCUGGAGUGAAAGGCGGGGGCGCAACCCCCGGACUGCUCUGGAAACUGUACGGCGGGAGUGCAGGAGAGGUAAGUGGAAUUCCUAGUGGAGCGGUGAAAUGCGUAGAUAUUAGGAGGAACACCAGUGGCGAAGGCGGCUUACUGGACUGUAACUGACGUUGAGGCUCGAAAGCGUGGGGAGCAAACAGGAUUAGAUACCCGAGUAGUC
rnacentral:rRNA from 1 species